GAUGAACGCUGGCGGCGUGCCUAAUACAUGCAAGUCGAACGCUGGAGAUCUAGCUUGCUAGAUCGAAGGAGUGGCGAACGGGUGAGUAAUACAUAAGCAACCUACCCACGAAGACUGGGAUAAUCUCUGGAAACGGGGACUAAUACCGGAUAGGUAAUCGGAAGGCAUCUUCUGGUUAUUAAAGGUUAAAAACACUGGUGGAUGGGCUUAUGGCGCAUUAGUUAGUUGGUGAGGUAACGGCCCACCAAGACGAUGAUGCGUAGCCGGCCUGAGAGGUUGAACGGCCACAUUGGGACUGAGACACGGCCCAGACUCCUACGGGAGGCAGCAGUAGGGAAUUUUCGGCAAUGGGGGCAACCCUGACCGAGCAACGCCGCGUGAGUGAAGACGGCCUUCGGGUUGUAAAGCUCUGUUGUAAGGGAAGAACGGUAGAUAGAGAAUAUCUAAGUGACGGUACCUUACCAGAAAGCCACGGCUAACUACGUG
rnacentral:rRNA from 1 species